CAGUCGCCGCGGUAAUACGAAGGGGGCUAGCGUUGCUCGGAAUCACUGGGCGUAAAGCGUGCGCAGGCGGUUAUAUAAGACAGAUGUGAAAUCCCCGGGCUCAACCUGGGACCUGCAUUUGUGACUGUAUAGCUAGAGUACGGUAGAGGGGGAUGGAAUUCCGCGUGUAGCAGUGAAAUGCGUAGAUAUGCGGAGGAACACCGAUGGCGAAGGCAAUCCCCUGGACCUGUACUGACGCUCAUGCACGAAAGCGUGGGGAGCAAACAGGAUUAGAUACCCGGGUAGUCCCUGUCUCUUAUAC
rnacentral:rRNA from 1 species